GCCAAGUAUAGUGGUGCAUGCUUGUAAUCCCAGCAACUUGGGAGGCUGAGGCUGGAGGAUCACAAGUUCAAGGCUAGCCUCAG
rnacentral:sRNA from 1 species